rnacentral:rRNA from 1 species
AACGAACGCUGGCGGCAGGCUUAACACAUGCAAGUCGAACGCACCGCAAGGUGAGUGGCAGACGGGUGAGUAACGCGUGGGAAUCUACCCAGAUCUUCGGAAUAACUGAGGGAAACUUCAGCUAAUACCGGAUACGCCCUACGGGGAAAGAUUAUCGGUUCUGGAUGAGCCCGCGUUGGAUUAGCUAGUUGGUGGGGUAAUGGCCUACCAAGGCGACGAUCCAUAGCUGGUCNGAGAGGAUGAUCAGCCACACUGGGACUGAGACACGGCCCAGACUCCUACGGGAGGCAGCAGUGGGGAAUAUUGGACAAUGGGCGAAAGCCUGAUCCAGCCAUGCCGCGUGAGUGAUGAAGGCCUUAGGGUUGUAAAGCUCUUUCAGUGGGGAAGAUAAUGACGGUACCCACAGAAGAAGCCCCGGCUAACUUCGUGCCAGCAGCCGCCGU